UACGGGGGGAGCAAGCGUUGUUCGGAUUUACUGGGCGUAAAGGGCGCGUAGGCGGUCAGCACAAGUCAGUUGUGAAAUCUCCGGGCUUAACUCGGAAAGGUCAACUGAUACUGUGCGACUAGAGUGCAGAAGGGGCAACUGGAAUUCUCGGUGUAGCGGUGAAAUGCGUAGAUAUCGAGAGGAACACCGACGGCGAAGGCAGCUCGCUGGGACGGUACUGACGCUGAGGCGCGAAAGCGUGGGGAGCGAACAGG
rnacentral:rRNA from 1 species